AUACGGAGGAUCCGAGCGUUAUCCGGAUUUAUUGGGUUUAAAGGGUGCGCAGGCGGCCAUUUAAGUCAGCGGUUAAAUCGUGGGGCUCAACCCCAUUCUGCCGUUGAUACUGGGUGGCUUGAUUGCGGUCGAGGUUGGCGGAAUUCGUUGUGUAGCGGUGAAAUGCAUAGAUAUGACGAAGAACACCGAUUGCGUAGGCAGCUGACCAGACCGCAAAUGACGCUCAUGCACGAAAGUGCGGGGAUCGGACAGGAUUAGAUACCCUGGUAGUCCGCACAGUAAACGAUGAAUACUUGUUUUCGGCGAUAUAUUGUCGGAGGCAAAGCGAAAGCGAUAAGUAUUCCACCUGGGGAGUACGCCGGCAACGGUGAAACUCAAAGGAAUUGACGGGG
rnacentral:rRNA from 1 species